rnacentral:rRNA from 1 species
CCUACGGGAGGCAGCAGUGAGGAAUAUUGGACAAUGGGCGCAAGCCUGAUCCAGCCAUGCCGCGUGCAGGAAGACGCAUCUAUGGUGUGUAAACUGCUUUUGUACGGGAAGAAACACUCCUUCGUGAAGGAGCUUGACGGUACCGUAAGAAUAAGGAUCGGCUAACUCCGUGCCAGCAGCCGCGGUAAUACGGAGGAUCCAAGCGUUAUCCGGAAUCAUUGGGUUUAAAGGGUCCGUAGGCGGUUUAAUAAGUCAGUGGUGAAAUCUGGUCGCCCAACGAUCAAACGGCCAUUGAUACUGUUAGACUUGAAUUACUAGGAAGUAACUAGAAUAUGUAGUGUAGCGGUGAAAUGCUUAGAUAUUACAUGGAAUACCAAUUGCGAAGGCAGGUUACUACUAGUGGAUUGACGCUGAUGGACGAAAGCGUGGGGAGCGAACAGGAUUAGAUACCCUGGUAGUCCACGCCGUAAACGAUGGAUACUAGCUGUUGGGCGCAAGUUCAGUGGCUAGGCGAAAGUGAUAAGUAUCCCACCUGGGGAGUACGUUCGCAAGAAUGAAACUUAAGGAAUUGACGG